UACUAUAAUCGACAUCGUAUUGUUAAAAUGUUUCAAACUUUUUAGCUACGUUUUAUUUUAUACGUUUGCUUUUUGCUACGCAUUAAAGUUGAUUAAAUUGCGUUGUCAUCAGGUCCUGUUACCUCUCCUGCUCCCACACUCCUACUGGCAUCGUCAUUCACACAGCUGUUGAUCAUUGGCAACGGUAAAAUAAAAAGGCAACAACAGCAACAAAACAACAAAUGUUGCAGUUCACCAUAUCGUGCACCUGUCCAAGUUGAAUGCACCAUUCAAAAGAGAGAUGCACACAGACCGAGAGAGAGAGAGUGGCAGAGUGUCUGUGAGAGGAUAGAGAGUGCGUGCCAAAAAACGAAAUAUGCUAAAAAUUAAAGACAAAGCUUUGUGGAUGCUUCUUCUUGUAUAGAUUUACUCAAUACAUUGUCCUUCGACCUCCCCCUACUACUUGGCUAGCAAACCCAGAGACUGCGUCAUUUCCAAUGGGGCACUAUUAGUUUGAAUGAUAAACAAAACUGCAGUGUAAGUGCGUAAGUGUGUGAGUGACAUGUUUGGAGCAGCAGAAACCACCCCCAAAAAGAUGUAUGCAUGUCGAUUCACCUCGGCUACUUCUCUGCUCUGCCGCUGCUCUGUUAAUAAAUGCCAAGCAAUUUGUUGUUAAAACAGGAAAUAAUGUUAAAUUUCUACCGCACAAAGGCAGAUAUUCUAGAGCUGUUUUUUUUGUUUUGUUUUCUGUAUUCUUCUCUUUUAUUUUUGUCAUAACCUUGCCAAAGCCUUUGCUUUUGGUUCACAUGAGGCGCCCCCGCAACUUUACAAUAAGUUCAUUAACAUUAGCACGCUUUUAUGGUUUUUUUUAUCAACAAUAUUAAGUACACACCAAGGUUGAGAUGUAGGACUACAAUUAUUAUUAUUCUAAAUAAUUUAAAAUUAUUAACAAAGUGCGCAGUUCGCAUUGAUGACGCAGCAUAGCCUCUCUCGCUCUCUUUGGCUCUCGCGACUUUGGCCUGGCUACAAUAUGGCGUCGUUGGAAUUGUGUCGUCGCCUAAUUUAAACGUAAAAUAAUAAAUGUUUUAAAAAAAUAAAAGUUAGUGAAUCGCCAGCGAGCUCAAGUUGCUAGCCCCUCAAAUCCCUGCUUGCCCCAUAAGUCAUUCGAUUUAAUAACAGUGCAAGCUUGGCUCUCUUUUUUGUUAUUUUGCGUUGCAUUGGUCUUUUGCCCCCUCUCUGUCUUUCUCUCUGCCAGGGCUCUCUUUCUCCCUCACAUUACUCUUAUUGUGGGUGCACUUUGUACUAUUGGUUGGCUAGGGGCUUCGCAGUCGCUGUUAUUCAACAUAAGAAAAUAAAAGACGUUUUAAACAAAUCGAAA